rnacentral:rRNA from 1 species
UACGGAGGGUGCAAGCGUUAUCCGGAUUUACUGGGUUUAAAGGGUGCGCAGGCGGAUAUGUAAGUCAGUGGUGAAAUCCCCGAGCUUAACUUGGGAACUGCCGUUGAUACUAUCUGUCUUGAAUACCGUGGAGGUGAGCGGAAUAUGUCAUGUAGCGGUGAAAUGCUUAGAUAUGACAUAGAACACCAAUUGCGAAGGCAGCUCGCUACACGAAUAUUGACUCUGAGGCACGAAAGCGUGGGGAUCAAACAGG